GGAGCCCCACGAGAAAGACCUUACCCUGUGCGGGGGCCUUACCCGUCCGGAGCCCCGCCGGGUCCACACGUCCGGCCGCACCUCGGGGCUGCCCCGGAGACGCGCCUUUGCGGACACGAGGAGCGGCGAGGGCGCGGGGAGGGAGGCACCGGCUUGAGACCCCGGGGCCCCGCCUCGCCCGGAGGACCCCGAGGGACGCGGCCGCCGAGCCGCGCGGACCGAGACCGCCUCAAGGAAGGCCGGGCGGCCCAGCUGGACCCCGGGUCCCCGCCACAACCUGCGGCCCCGCACUGCCGACCCACCUCCGCUGAGGCUCCGCACGCUCGGGCCGCACCGCGUGCUCGGACGCCGGCCUCCCUCCCCGCCACACACCCGCCGUGUCGGAAACCGCGCGGCUUCUCUCGUCAGCCCCGGUCCCGGAGCCACGCGCUCUCCCUGCGGUCGGUCUCCGGCAAACGGCUGUCCCGACGCGGGCGCGGAGGUCAUUUUAACGCGGGCACGUGGGCUCCGUCACCCUCGCGUCUCCGGAUGGGGGUGAGCGCCCUCGCGCUGCUUCUCGGGCGGGAAAGGGCAGCCCUGCCCCUCUCCCAGACCCAUCCAGGGGGCCAGGGGGCAGGGCAGGGCCCCUCAGCGCGGCUUCCGUCGCGGGGCAGGAAUCGCACCGCCUCCCCUGGGGCCUGCAGAGAGGCUCGGAGGAGCGCUCCGUCGGGUUUGCAGGAACCCAGCGUGAUGCGGGUGUUGGUUGGCGGUUCUCGAGCGCGGACUACACUUCCUACUGAAGGGGAGGGGACAGCUACUCCUUCUCCCGUCCCCGUGGAACCUCAAGGGGUCCCGACGCGACAGGAAGACCGUGAAUCUCCUCCACCGGCUGGGCAGGGCAGGAGAAAAAUAGCAUCUGGAGGGAAGGAAAAGGGAAGAACACUAAUGAAAUUUCAUGAUGGAAUGCUAUUUUGAGGGCCCCAUCUUUUGGAACCAAGCCCUCGGGUCGCUAGUGGAGACGCUGCGGUCCGGUUGCGUCCUCAGCUGCGUUGUGAGCCGAAGCAGAACAAGGCAGAGCACCCACCGUGGUGUCCAGGGAGGACGCUGCCGGCACUUCUUCAGGGUGGCAGCCCUGGAACUUCGUGUGAAGGAAACUCGGUAACUAUUGCACCAAGAGGAGCAACCGCUGGAGAUUCCUUCCCCAAACUUUCUAAACAGAGGAAAACAAGAGAGAGAGAGACUGAGAGAGAGCACAUUAAAAUCUUUCUCAGUAUUUCUGCUUUCUGCCUAUUGGUACUUGGUUCUGAGGUAAACGUGAAAACCCCACCAGACACUGACCGGGUCUGUGAAAACAGUCUUUAUCUCCCUGUCCUUCCUACGUUAGGAAUUGCACUCCGCAACCUGUUGAACAGGAAAACUAUAAAAGGCAAAUAAAAGGGGCACCUGGGUGGCUCA
rnacentral:lncRNA from 12 species